rnacentral:rRNA from 1 species
GAUGAACGCUAGCGGCAGGCUUAACACAUGCAAGUCGAGGGGCAGCAUGAGACGGAGAUUCGUCGAAGUCUUGAUGGCGACCGGCGCAAGGGUGCGUAACGCGUGAGCAACUUGCCCUUAUCAGGGGGAUAACCGUUGGAAACGACGACUAAUACCCCAUAGUAUCACUUUAAGGCAUCUUUUAGUGAUUAAAGAACUUCGGAUAAGGAUAGGCUCGCGUGACAUUAGCUAGAUGGCGGGGUAACGGCCCACCAUGGCGACGAUGUCUAGGGGUUCUGAGAGGAAGGUCCCCCACACUGGAACUGAGACACGGUCCAGACUCCUACGGGAGGCAGCAGUGGGGAAUAUUGGGCAAUGGGGGAAACCCUGACCCAGCAACGCCGCGUGAAGGAAGAAGGCCUUCGGGUUGUAAACUUCUUUUAGUAGGGACGAAGAACGUGACGGUACCUACAGAAAAAGCAACGGCUAACUACGUG